rnacentral:tRNA from 1 species
GGCUGGUUAGCUCAGUGGGUUGAGCACGGUGCUGAUAACACCUAGACUGCGGGUUCGAUUCCCUUUCGGUCCA